AUGCACGCCAUGGAUGAGGAGAUGAAGGCGAUCGAGAGCAAUGGCACGUGGACUUUGGUAACCCGACCUCCGAACCAAAAGGCCAUAGGUUUGAAGUGGGUUUACAAGUUGAAGAAGGACGCGAAGGGUGCCAUUGUGAAGCACAAGGCAAGACUCGUCGCAAAGGGCUACGUACAACGUCAAGGAGUUGACUAUGAGGAGGUGUUUCCACCGGUUGCUCGAAUCGAGAUGGUGAGAGUGCUCCUAGCUUUGGCAGCACAAGAGGAUUGGAAGGUUCAUCAUAUGGAUGAGAAAUCCGCUUUCCUCAACGGCGACCUCAAAGAAGAAGUGUACGUGGAACAACCCCUCGGCUACGAGAAGAAAUGCGAAGACGGAAAAAUUUACAAGCUCAAGAAGGCACUUUACAGGCUGAAGCAAACGCCAAGAGCUUGGAAUUCGAAGUUAGACCGAAGUAUGGUCUCGUGCGGGUUCAAAAGAUAUCCCCUGUAUGGUCCAAAAGACAGUCUACCAAGCACCGAAGAACAGGUGAAGGUUGAAGACGCGACCAAGGAGGAGCGCUGGCGUCAAGCUACAGAUGAGCCAACGCUAGCAAAGUCGAUGACUGGGAUUCUACAAGGAACGACGAAGGCAAUACCUAUGGGUAGUAGUCGCAUUUGGGAUCCGGGUCAAUAG
rnacentral:rRNA from 1 species